GCUUAUCACCAUUCCAGAUUGAAUAUACCCGAUCUCGUCUGAUCUUGGAAGUCAAGCGAUCUCGGGCUUGGUUAGUACUUGGAUGGGUGACCGCUUGGGAAUACCAAGUGUGAUAAGUA
rnacentral:rRNA from 1 species